AAAUUAAAAAAAAAAAAGACAGACAAAAAGAAAUUAAGUGAAAUCGAGGAGAUUUAAUAGAUGGAGCUGUAUUCUAUUUCUUCUAAUCUGCAUUGCAUGGGUCUUUACUUUUUUGGUGGUGGUAGUUGUGGGGAGGCGAGUAGGGUCACCAACUGUAUAUACUUUCAGUUGUGUGGAGUUACAGGUGGUAAGGUGGUAGAGUGGUAUGUGGCUUUCACGGUCAGUAUCGAUUCUAUAAAUAGCCAGGGUGGUCAGAAGAAUAGUGUGUUGUUAUUACUCACACAUGCACACAGAUGUUCUUUCCCCCCCCCCUCAAAAACCUGAACUCACCAAAAUAGUUCACUUAGAAAACUCAAGCAAAAGACAUCUGUUUCAAUAAUGGACCUAUUUUUUUCAAUGAUGUAGCGCCAACUUGAGCAUGUGGCAACCGUCAAGUCCAGUACAUUGCAGAUGAAUACCUAAUGGGGUAGUUAAAGCCACUGGAAGCUGAACAGGAUCGGAAAUUUAAGAAACCAGUGAGGAACUGUGCAAGCACGUAUAUUUAGUUAAAUGCUGGCUGAAUUUAGCUGGAAGUCAAUGCAAGUCUUUGCUUUAUAUGUGCACUAUAUUUGCAUUAAAUGAUGCUACUUCAUAAUAAAAACUUUCCUCAAAGCAGAACUUUUGACUGCUAUAUGUACCCCUCUGUUUCUCCCUCUCAUUUGUCUAUAAUGCACACUGGGGGAUGCGCCUCCCCAGCAUUUGUUUUCAAUCCCUCUGUAUUGGGUUAAGCUGCAUGAUCUCACAACAAAAAGACCAUUGUACCACAAUAAAGAGCUCUGCUCCGGGGAGCUGGUAGUAGGCCACAAACAAAGGGUUGUUACAUUGUCCCAGUGCUAGCUCAUGAAUCAACUCAUCGCUGGACUACCAACACAGUCAUGGAAAUUGUGCUCUGUGGAUUCUUGAAUUGGAACAUUUGGAUUUUUGAGGAAAGGAUUUCAAUGGGAGGGUGCAGGAAAUUGAUGACCAGAAAGCAGGAUGCACAGCUGGAGCUGGAAUAAAGAGAUCAGGUGCUCAUAAUGUUGCAGGACUCCCCACAGCUCGGCAUCAUUGUUCACAACCGCCUCCAAGGCCUCUGCAGUCACUGGGGCACAUCCUGACCCCGAAUCCGCGCCCGAAUGACCUCUUUCGGCCA